rnacentral:ncRNA from 1 species
CAGUUAGAUCAUCUAGUUGAACAGCAACUUCAAUUAGGACAUCUCCAGUGGUCGGUGAGCCCAUGGAACUCUCCUGUUUUUGUGAUAAAAAGGCUAAUGGUAAAUGGAGGUUUCUUCAUGAUCUCAGGAAAAUCAAUGAGAGAAUGCUACCCUUUGGGACCCCACAAUGGGGAGUGCCCUGGGUGCCUGCUAUCCCAAAUAACUACCACUUGAUGAUCAUAGAUAUCAAAUAUUGUUUCUUUUCUAUACCCUUACAUCCUGAGGACACUGAAAAAUUCGCCUUUUC